rnacentral:tRNA from 1 species
UAAAUGUUCCUUUCCAUUAUGAAUAGCGAUUGUAUGGCCAAUCAUUGUGGGUAUAAUGGUAGAUGCCCGAGACC